rnacentral:rRNA from 1 species
CCUACGGGUGGCAGCAGUGGGGAAUAUUGCACAAUGGGGGAAACCCUGAUGCAGCAACGCCGCGUGAAUGAAGGAGGGUUUCGGCAUGUAAAGUCCUGUUGUCAGUGAAGAAUCAUGACGGUAGCUCAGGAACAAGCCACGGCUAACUACGUGCCAGCAGCCGCGGUAAUACGUAGGUGGCAAGCGUUGUCCGGAAUUACUGGGUGUAAAGGGAGCGUAGGCGGGAAGGCAAGUCAGCUGUGAAAACGCGGGGCUUAACUUGUGGACUGCACUUGAAACUGGUUUGCUGGAGUGCGGUAGAGGUAGGCGGAAUUCCUGGUGUAGCGGUGAAAUGCGUAGAUAUCAGGAGGAACACCGGUGGCGAAGGCGGCCUGCUGGGCUUUAACUGACGUUGAGGCUCGAAAGCGUGGGGAGCAAACAGGAUUAGAUACCCCAGUAGUC